GAUGAACGCUGGCGGCGUGCCUAACACAUGCAAGUCGAGCGAUCUUCUUCGGAAGAGAGCGGCGGACGGGUGAGUAACGCGUGGGUAACCUGCCUCAUACACAUGGAUAACAUACCGAAAGGUAUGCUAAUACAAGAUGAUAUAAGAGAUUCGCAUGGAUUUCUUAUCAAAGCUUUUGCGGUAUGAGAUGGACCCGCGUCUGAUUAGCUAGUUGGUAAGGUAAUGGCUUACCAAGGCGACGAUCAGUAGCCGACCUGAGAGGGUGAUCGGCCACAUUGGAACUGAGACACGGUCCAAACUCCUACGGGAGGAAGCAGUGGGGAAUAUUGCACAAUGGGCGAAAGCCUGAUGCAGCAACGCCGCGUGAGCGAUGAAGGCCUUAGGGUCGUAAAGCUCUGUCCUCAAGGAAGAUAAUGACGGUACUUGAGGAGGAAGCCCCGGCUAACUACGUGCCAGCAGCCGCCGUAAUAC
rnacentral:rRNA from 1 species